rnacentral:rRNA from 1 species
UACCAGCACCCCGAGUGGUCGGGACGUUUAUUGGGCCUAAAGCAUCCGUAGCCGGUUCUACAAGUCUUCCGUUAAAUCCAACUGCUUAACAGGUGGGCUGCGGAAGAUACUAUAGAGCUAGGAGGCGGGAGAGGCAAGCGGUACUCGAUGGGUAGGGGUAAAAUCCGUUGAUCCAUUGAAGACCACCAGUGGCGAAGGCGGCUUGCCAGAACGCGCUCGACGGUGAGGGAUGAAAGCUGGGGGGAGCAAACCGG